GUUAAUAGGUCAGUGUAAGUUCAUGACCCCUGAUCAUCUUGUUGGGCAGAGUGGGACAAGUAGCUGGGCAGAUUAGGCGACACAGCUGUUGCUGGGGACAAGAACUGGCUGAUGAUUGGUUGCUGUCAGUGAGCCAGAAAAAGAGCGGGAAACCAGGUAAGUACAAAAGGUGACGGUGCAAGGCAAUCCCUGUCAGCUGUCUUUUCUACAGGAUGGGAGAAG